rnacentral:rRNA from 1 species
GGUGAAAAGCACCCCGGAAGGGGAGUGAAAUAGAACCUGAAACCGUGUGCUUACAAGUAGUCAGAGCCCGUUAAUGGGUGAUGGCGUGCCUUUUGUAGAAUGAACCGGCGAGUUACGAUUUGAUGCAAGGUUAAGCAGUAAAUGUGGAGCCGUAGCGAAAGCGAGUCUGAAUAGGGCGUUUAGUAUUUGGUCGUAGACCCGAAACCAGGUGAUCUACCCUUGGUCAGGUUGAAGUUCAGGUAACACUGAAUGGAGGACCGAACCGACUUACGUUGAAAAGUGAGCGGAUGAACUGAGGGUAGCGGAGAAAUUCCAAUCGAACCUGGAGAUAGCUGGUUCUCUCCGAAAUAGCUUUAGGGCUAGCCUCAAGUGAUGAUUAUUGGAGGUAGAGCACUGUUUGGACGAGGGGCCCCUCUCGGGUUACCGAAUUCAGACAAACUCCGAAUGCCAAUUAAUUUAACUUGGGAGUCAGAACAUGGGUGAUAAGGUCCGUGUUCGAAAGGGAAACAGCCCAGACCACCAGCUAAGGUCCCAAAAUAUAUGUUAAGUGGAAAAGGAUGUGGCGUUGCCCAGACAACUAGGAUGUUGGCUUAGAAGCAGCCAUCAUUUAAAGAGUGCGUAAUAGCUCACUAGUCGAGUGACACUGCGCCGAAAAUGUACCGGGGCUAAACAUAUUACCGAAGCUGUGGAUUGUCCUUUGGACAAUGGUAGGAGAGCGUUCUAAGGGCGUUGAAGCAUGAUCGUAAGGACAUGUGGAGCGCUUAGAAGUGAGAAUGCCGGUGUGAGUAGCGAAAGACGGGUGAGAAUCCCGUCCACCGAUUGACUAAGGUUUCCAGAGGAAGGCUCGUCCGCUCUGGGUUAGUCGGGUCCUAAGCUGAGGCCGACAGGCGUAGGCGAUGGAUAACAGGUUGAUAUUCCUGUACCACCUAUAAUCGUUUUAAUCGAUGGGGGGACGCAGUAGGAUAGGCGAAGCGUGCGAUUGGAUUGCACGUCUAAGCAGUAAGGCUGAGUAUUAGGCAAAUCCGGUACUCAUUAAGGCUGAGCUGUGAUGGGGAGAAGACAUUGUGUCUUCGAGUCGUUGAUUUCACACUGCCGAGAAAAGCCUCUAGAUAGAAAAUAGGUGCCCGUACCGCAAACCGACACAGGUAGUCAAGAUGAGAAUUCUAAGGUGAGCGAGCGAACUCUCGUUAAGGAACUCGGCAAAAUGACCCCGUAACUUCGGGAGAAGGGGUGCUCUUUAGGGUUAACGCCCAGAAGAGCCGCAGUGAAUAGGCCCAAGCGACUGUUUAUCAAAAACACAGGUCUCUGCUAAACCGUAAGGUGAUGUAUAGGGGCUGACGCCUGCCCGGUGCUGGAAGGUUAAGAGGAGUGGUUAGCUUCUGCGAAGCUACGAAUCGAAGCCCCAGUAAACGGCGGCCGUAACUAUAACGGUCCUAAGGUAGCGAAAUUCCUUGUCGGGUAAGUUCCGACCCGCACGAAAGGCGUAACGAUUUGGGCACUGUCUCAACGAGAGACUCGGUGAAAUCAUAGUACCUGUGAAGAUGCAGGUUACCCGCGACAGGACGGAAAGACCCCGUGGAGCUUUACUGUAGCCUGAUAUUGAAAUUCGGCACAGCUUGUACAGGAUAGGUAGGAGCCUUUGAAACGUGAGCGCUAGCUUACGUGGAGGCGCUGGUGGGAUACUACCCUAGCUGUGUUGGCUUUCUAACCCGCACCACUUAUCGUGGUGGGAGACAGUGUCAGGCGGGCAGUUUGACUGGGGCGGUCGCCUCCUAAAAGGUAACGGAGGCGCUCAAAGGUUCCCUCAGAAUGGUUGGAAAUCAUUCAUAGAGUGUAAAGGCAUAAGGGAGCUUGACUGCGAGACCUACAAGUCGAGCAGGGUCGAAAGACGGACUUAGUGAUCCGGUGGUUCCGCAUGGAAGGGCCAUCGCUCAACGGAUAAAAGCUACCCCGGGGAUAACAGGCUUAUCUCCCCCAAGAGUUCACAUCGACGGGGAGGUUUGGCACCUCGAUGUCGGCUCAUCGCAUCCUGGGGCUGUAGUCGGUCCCAAGGGUUGGGCUGUUCGCCCAUUAAAGCGGUACGCGAGCUGGGUUCAGAACGUCGUGAGACAGUUCGGUCCCUAUCCGUCGUGGGCGUAGGAAAUUUGAGAGGAGCUGUCCUUAGUACGAGAGGACCGGGAUGGACAUACCUCUGGUGUACCAGUUGUCGUGCCAACGGCAUAGCUGGGUAGCUAUGUGUGGACGGGAUAAGUGCUGAAAGCAUCUAAGCAUGAAGCCCCCCUCAAGAUGAGAUUUCCCAACUUCGGUUAUAAGAUCCCUCAAAGAUGAUGAGGUUAAUAGGUUCGAGGUGGAAGCAUGGUGACAUGUGGAGCUGACGAAUACUAA